rnacentral:lncRNA from 1 species
AUCAUUCUAAUGAGUAAUAGCAUAUAGGUAGCACCGAUAAACCAAAUAACUGAGUACAUCGACCGCACAACUGUGUUUGCAAGUGACCAAUUGAACUGAUGAUGAAACCUGAGUGCCAAGGGCCCAGGACAUAGAAGUUCAGUCCUGAGUGCCAAGGGCCCAGGACAUAGAAGUUCAGUUUACACCAGUACGCUAUGCCUAGUAAGACUCUCUUUACUCUUUAGCAAUAUAAUAAUGUAAUUAUUAAAUACUAAAUAAAAGCAAACCUCCCAAAUGAGGGGGAGCAGUGGCAACAACAGAAUCAUUC